rnacentral:rRNA from 1 species
AUUGAACGCUGGCGGCAUGCCUUACACAUGCAAGUCGAACGGCAGCGGACCUUCGGGUGCCGGCGAGUGGCGAACGGGUGAGUAAUAUAUCGGAACGUACCUUUCAGUGGGGGAUAACGUAGCGAAAGUUACGCUAAUACCGCAUAUUCUGUGAGCAGGAAAGCAGGGGAUCGCAAGACCUUGCGCUGAUUGAGCGGCCGAUAUCAGAUUAGCUAGUUGGCGAGGUAAAGGCUCACCAAGGCGACGAUCUGUAGCGGGUCUGAGAGGAUGAUCCGCCACACUGGAACUGAGACACGGUCCAGACUCCUACGGGAGGCAGCAGUGGGGAAUUUUGGACAAUGGGCGCAAGCCUGAUCCAGCCAUGCCGCGUGAGUGAAGAAGGCCUCGGUUGUAAG